rnacentral:lncRNA from 1 species
UAGUGCUAUAAGUUCAAAGUUAUCUGAUGCCUGAUUCAUUAGUUUCGCUCUGUAUCAUUGAUGGUUCAAUUUUCCUAACCCGGCACUGGGAAGGGAAAGUAUAUGAUUUCAACAUAGGGCAGCUUAAUGCAUGGAUAACACAAAAUUGGUCCAUGGCACCGAAAGAUCCUUAUUUUAGAUAAAAAUAACACCAAAAGAUUCUGGUUCUGGUACACUUUAAUAUCACCGAAAGUUUUCAAUCUUUGGCUUCUUAGCAUUCUGUGAACUUCUCCAUCUAUUGCAAUCAUCUGCCUUUACUUGGUUACUCUAAGUCCACGCCCAGUUUAUCCUUUUGCCCUUGCAAUACUCCUUUAUACCAUUAUAGACAUGCUGACAUGCACAUACGUGCUCACUAUCUUCUCAAAUCUACACUGUCAUUGGGUUCACCCUGGAACAAAAGAUUUAUUGCUUGUUGGGAUGAACUAGGACUAGUUGUUAGUUCAAACUAAAAAUUAGUUAGCUAAAGUUAAGCUAGCUAAAGAAUUAUUGUGGUGCGUUUGAAUCCCCAACUAAAAGUUCCAUGGACACCUAUUAGUUCCAUUAGCUGGGAUUGCCCACCUAAUGGACUAGUUGUUAGUUGGGGUCUAGACUAAAAAUUAGUCCACCUAUUAGUUUGCUUGUUUGAAUGGACUAGGACUAUUUUUAGGCCAUUAGUUAGUCCAAGUGAUCCACACAGGCCCUUAUACAGUAGAUAGCAAGCACAUCUUGCGCAGAGAUAAACAAAGUUAGGUUGGAAAGGUAGGCUAGAGACGUAGAGUCAUGUUCUUACCCAUGGGAAAUGUAGGAGGUCCAUGAAUUUAUUCUACCUUUUUUUUUUUGCUUUGAUACUCAACGGCAAACGAAACAACCAAUUUUAGGGUUUGAAUUGUUGAUUUCCCCCAAACUUUAGGGUUCACCAUCAAUUCAAAUAAAACUGAAAGGGGGUUCCUUACCUGCUGCUGGCUGGUUUUCCAAGACCUGGAGCAUGUGCCAGGGCAAGGGAGGUUGGUAACACCCACAUGCCGCAGGGACCAAACCUCCCUGAUCUUGUCAGGGUGCAUGCACCAGCUGCAGGCCACUGUUGUUAGUCCCUGGGAUUCCUGCACAGGUAAGCAGUAAGCUUACCAGCACACCCACACACUCACUCACUAUGGCUAGAGGUAGAAGAAGGGGUUGAGCUCAAGCACACACACAUAGCACAAGCACCAGCGCUGGCCAGAGCUCUGCUCUUUGGUUUGUGGCAACUGAACUGAAAAAUACAUUACUAGGGCUGCACUUAUAUACACAAAGGGGUAGGUUUAGUUUGUGUAUGAACUGAAGCUACUGAAGGUGGGCUGCUGUACUGCAGUCAGUCUACUAUCCUAGCUGCAGGAUAAGCCUGCAAUACUUAUUAGCUAAGGACACAAUGGCCUACCAAAAAUCUGUGUCCUCACUACUCCUAGUCAAGUGUUCCCACUACAGCUUGACUGCUGUUCAACCUUUCAAAGCUGGUCUUUAGUUUCACAUUUCUAGUCACCAAGCUGCAGCCUUGACUGAAGAUUGGUCUGCAGUUGCAGAUUUCUUUGCAAGUCCAGCAGCAAAUUAUUCAACAAUUCUUCCCCUAAUCUUGCUGCUCUUGCUUGAUUUCCACCAUUCCAAUCUUGGUCCUCAGCUCCAUGAACCGAAGACGGCCGAGUGGCUUGGUGAGGAUGUCUGCGAGCUGUCGUCCGGUUUCGACAAACUCCAGAACAAUCUGACCUCCAUCGACACAAUCACGGAUGAAGUGAAAACGAGUGUCGAUGUGCUUGCUGCGGUCGUGGAGGACUGGGUUCUUUGCAAGGGCGAUGGCGGGCUGAUUGUCCACCAUCAGGGCUGGCGGGUGAGCUUCCUUGCCAGUCAGCUCGCCCAACAGCCGGCGCAGCCAGACAGCCUGGCAUGCCGCCGUGGCUGCUGCGACAUACUCCGCCUCACAUGUCGAUAGCGCCACGAUUUUUUGCUUCAGCGACUGCCAAGCAAUGGGCGCUGCUCCAAGGAAGACGAGCACACCAGAGGUGCUCCGUCGACCAUCAAUGUCGCCUGCCAUGUCUGCAUCGCUGAAAACAGUGAGCUCCGGCUCACCUUUAGUCUUGGGGGGUGUCUCGCUGAAGAUCGUGAGCCUUAGCCCACCUUUGCCGCCACGCUUGGGGAAGAUGAUCGCUUGAUCAAGCGACCCUUUGACGUAGCGCAGCAGCCUCUUGACCGCCAUCCAAUGAUCUUCUCGCGGGUCCUCCAUGAAACGGCUGACGUACCCAACCGCGAACGCAAUGUCCGGCCGGGUAUGAGUGAGGUAGCGCAGCCCACCGACGAUGCUCCGGUAGCGUGUCGCGUCAACCUUCGCAGCGGUGCUGUGCUUGCUUAGCUUCAGCCGCUCCUCCAUUGGAGUCGCGCACGGCUUGCAAUCUGCCAUGCCGCCGCGCUCCAGCAGCUUCUCCGCAUAGGCAUGCUGGCCCAGGGAGAUGUGCUCCUUCCCCUGCCUCACCUCAAUGCCGAGGUAGUAGGAGAGCAUGCCGAGAUCGCUCAUCUUAAAUCGAGCUGCCAUCUCGUGCUUGAAACGAUCAAUGUCCUCCGCUCGCGCUCCAGUGACGAUCAAAUCGUCCACAUACACGCCGACGACGAGCUCCUCCUUCCCCCGUCGCCGCGUGUAGAGCGCGUGCUCUGUGGCGCAGCGAGCGAACCCAAGCUCGCCUAAGGUAGCAUCAAGCUUGGCGUUCCACGCUCGAGGGGCCUGCCGCAGCCCGUAGAGCGCCUUGCGCAGCUUGAGCACCUUGUGCUCAGCACCCUUGACGGCGAAGCCUGGAGCUUGCUUGACGAAGACCGUCUCCGCAAGCUCGCCGUUGAGGAACGCAGACUUGACGUCGAGGUGGUGGACACGCCAAUCCUUCGCUGCUGCCAUAGCCAACAGCAAGCGAACGGACUCCAUGCGCGCUACCGGAGCAAAGACUUCCUCGAAGUCGAUGCCCUCACGCUGCACAAAACCGCGGGCAACAAGCCGAGCCUUGUACUUGACAAUGGCACCGCGCUCAUCCCGCUUCACCUUGUAGACCCACUUUAGCCCAAUUGGCCUGCAGCCCGCCGGUGGAUCCACCAGCUCCCAUGUCCCAUUGUCCUCGAUCGCCCUCAUCUCCUCCAACAUUGCCCGACGCCAAUUGGCGUCCCGUUCAGCCACUGUGAACGUUGGCGGCUCCUCUGCGCUAACAAGGAGUAGCUCUGGGUCAUCUAGAAGCCGACUAGCCAACCCAGGAGCUCGCCCUUCGCCGACAAUGUUGUCCACGCGUCUGAACCGGACCUCCUCGCCGUCGUGGAAAGCAUCCACGUACUCAUCGAUGUUGGUGGGUGGAGAAGCGAAUUCCAGUGGUGGUGUCCCCUGUCCUGCUGUCGCAGGAGACUGUGGUGGAGGUAAAUGCGCUGCUGCUGGUGGAGACUGCUCUCCAGCAGCAGUCUGUUCUGCAGCAGCAGCCUGCUCUGUAGCAGCUGCAGCCUGCUCUCCAGCAUCUGCAGCAGCCUGCUCUCCAACAGUAGCAGCAACAGCCUGCGCUCCAGCGCCACCUCCUCCUUGCAUCACCAAGUGCUCGAUGGUGAAGGUGCUGCUGACGCCACCAGCUUCGCCGGCGCCUUGCUGCACCCAAUCCCAAGCAGCCAUCUCAUCGAACACCACAUCCCUAGAGAUCACCACCUUACCUCUCUUGGGAUCAUAGAGCCGAUAGGCCUUGCUGCCCUCCUCGUAGCCCAACAGCACCAUGGGCGUGCUUCUGUCUUCCAGCUUGCCGAGGUGGGGCUUUGUGUUCUUGACAUGGCCAAUGCAACCAAAUGUCCUGAGGAAGGAGACAUUAGGCUUGCGUCCAUGCCAAGCUUCGAACGGCGUCUUGCCUUUCAAGGCCUUGGUGGGCGCACGGUUGAGGAUGAACCCCGCUGUGGUCACCGCCUCGCCCCAGAACUCCGCCGGCAUCUUCUUGGCCUUCAUCAUCGACCUCGCCAUGCCGACCACGGUCUGGUUGCGCCUCUCCACCACGCCAUUCUGCUGUGGUGUGUACGGUGCGGUGUGGUGGCGCACCACACCUUCCUCCGCACAGUACGCAGCGAACUCCAUAGAAGUGAAUUCGCCUCCAAGAUCAGUCCGCAGCACGCGCAACUUCUUGCUGCUCUCCGCCUCCACGCGUGCCUUGAACUUCUUGAUUGCUUCCGCCGCUUCGCUCUUGCUGGUCAAAAGCUGCAGCCACAUGAACCGGCUGCAGUCAUCUACCAGCAAGAUGAAAUACUUGCGGCCUCCAUGUGUCGCCGGCGUGAUUGGCCCACAGAGGUCACCGUGGACCAGCUCCAGGGCCUCAGCCGCGCGAUACUUCGCCAUCUUCGGGAACGGCAGCCUCCUUUGCUUCCCGGCCAGGCAGCUGUCACACAGCUCACCUGCGUGCUCAAUGUGAGGCAGCCCCCGGACCAUCUUCUCCAGCUUGCCGAGGGCGUCGAAGCUGAGAUGGCCAUAGCGGGCGUGCCACAGCCAUGGCUCCUCCAUGCGCUGUGCAGCAAGGCAGAUGGGCUGCUCCACCUUCAAGUUGAGAAGGUACAGCCGGUUCCGGGACCUCUUCACCUUGGCAAGAAGUCGCUGCUCCCGGUCCCUGAUCUUGAGGACGCCGUCCUUGAUCAGCACCUCGCUGCCGCGCAUCUAGCUGGCCAAUGCUGAUGAUGUUUGAACGCAGCUGCGGGAUGUAAUACACAUCCGUCAGUGCGCGGUGCUCGCCGUUCUGGCACCUGAAGAUGAUGGUGCCACGCCCUUGGAUCGCCACCCUUGAGCCGUCACCAAACUUCACCGUGCCGGUCACGUUCCCGUCGAGCUCGGAGAAGGCCUCCUUGGAACCUGUCAUGUGGUUGCUGGCGCCGGAGUCCAGGUACCACUGCUGCUCCUGCUCGCUGCCCACACGUCCGAGGUGGACUUGGGCACGCGGCUCGUCGAGGUUGACGGCCUUCAGAGCCUUCCCGUGCUCCUGUACCGCCAUCACCUCUCCCUUCUCCUUGGCCUCAACGUCGUGCAGUGCACAGAACGUCGCCAUCAUGAGAGUAGCCUCAUCAUCAUCAUCAUCAUCAUCAGCCUGCGCCAAAUGAGCUUCGGCCUUCUUCUCCUGCUUGCGAUUUGGGCACUCCUUUGCCCAAUGGCCUGUCUUCCCGCAGCGCCUGCAAGCGUUGGGGUCGAUCUUCUUCUUCUUCUUCUUCUCCGAAGAAGCCUUGCCACGGCGCUUGCCAUCGCCACCGCGGCUGGAGGAGGCUUCCCCGGACUUCUUCUCCUUCAUCCGGGCAGCCCACUCCUCCUCUGUCAGCAGCAGCUUGCCGCUGUCCGUCGUUGCUGUGGCCUGCUCCAUGCGCUCGUCCACCGCCCGUAGACGGCCCGUCACAUCUUCAAUAGUGAGGGUGGACAGGUCCAACAUUGUCUCUAUGGAGAGAGCAAUUUGGAUGUACUUCGGUGGCACGGAGUGGAGGUACUUGGAGACUGCCUCUUCUUCGUUGAUGGUGACGCCGUAGCUCCCCAGCUUGCUGAUGAGCGACGACAGGCGGAGGGAGAACUCCUCCACCGACUCUCCAUCCUUGAACUUGAGGUUGGCGUACUCCUGCUUCAGCAGCUGGGCCGUUGCCUUCUUUGCGCGAUCAGAGCCGACGCGCAUUGCAGCAAUGGCCUCCCACGCCUCCUUAGCAGUCUUCUUCGCCCCCAACGGCUCCCUGUACUCCGUCGGCACAGCAGCGAGGAUAGCCUCCAUCGCUGACAUGUCGUCUUCUUCCUUGUCGGUGCCCUUGUCAAUGACAUUCCAAAGCCGUCGGGCUCUGAGCUUGACCUUCAUGGUCACCGCCCACUCGCCAUAGUUGGUGCGAGUCAGCAUCGGCCAACUUGUGCCGCUGACCUCCCGCACGGUGCGCACCACGACCUCCUGUCGUGGCUGGGCAGCCCCAGCAGCACUGCUGCUGUCAGCAGUCUCUGAGCCAGGUGCCAUCGCUGGCGGUUAGUCUGGCGACGCAGCUAUACGGCUUUGAUACCACUUGUUAGUCCCUGGGAUUCCUGCACAGGUAAGCAGUAAGCUUACCAGCACACCCACACACUCACUCACUAUGGCUAGAGGUAGAAGAAGGGGUUGAGCUCAAGCACACACACAUAGCACAAGCACCAGCGCUGGCCAGAGCUCUGCUCUUUGGUUUGUGGCAACUGAACUGAAAAAUACAUUACUAGGGCUGCACUUAUAUACACAAAGGGGUAGGUUUAGUUUGUGUAUGAACUGAAGCUACUGAAGGUGGGCUGCUGUACUGCAGUCAGUCUACUAUCCUAGCUGCAGGAUAAGCCUGCAAUACUUAUUAGCUAAGGACACAAUGGCCUACCAAAAAUCUGUGUCCUCACUACUCCUAGUCAAGUGUUCCCACUACAGCUUGACUGCUGUUCAACCUUUCAAAGCUGGUCUUUAGUUUCACAUUUCUAGUCACCAAGCUGCAGCCUUGACUGAAGAUUGGUCUGCAGUUGCAGACUUCUUUGCAAGUCCAGCAGCAAAUUAUUCAACAACUGUGACCUAGCAGAAGACUAUGAAUGUGUCACUGGGCACUUGGAGAAGAGGAGCGAUAGGUCAUGAGGGAAGGUGUUAUGGACGAGGUGCCAGAUGUUAUGGUGAUGGAUAUUUGGGAUAGAUAACUAGGCCUUAUGCUUUGCCAAGAGCUUGAGAGAUUGAGGGGGUAUUUUGGGAUAACUAGGCCUUAUGCUUUGCCAAGAGCUUGAGAGAUUGAGGGAGACUAGAAUUGUUUCUUCAUAAUUCAUUGCUUAUCAAUAGAGUCUACAAAUAUUUAUGUCCCUUCUACUUCACCUCUUUUGCUAAAUAACCUAUCUGGGACUAAUAUAAAUUGCAAAUACAAAGAUAAAUAAACUUAUAAAGAUAACUGAGCCGAACUUUCAGCCCAUCGGCCCUGGCAGCCUGUUGGCUGCCCAUGACAUCUCCCCCUCCCUUGAGGACCAGCUCGUCCUCGAGCUGCAGUGAUAGUGGUCGAGGAAGGUGCCGAGAGCGUCCUGGAUCCCAUGGGAAGAGACGAGUAGCCAGCUGGUCACCCUGGAGGUCGUUGUGGCUUGAGCCCCUUGAACCAGGGAAGGCUGCCACCACUGGAAGCUCUUGCUGCUGGAAGCUCUUGCCCGAGCCCCUUGCUGGAGUGGUCGGCACGACAACGAGGGUGGUCGGCGUGACGACGAGGGUGGGCGGCGACGGUGGCAGGUGGAGAUGAUGAGGCUGUGGCGCGGCGGCUAUGGUGAUGGGGGUGCGGCGGCGGCUGGUGGCGUUGCUGUGGCGGCGCGGCACGAUGGAUGAGGUAGGCGACGCGGCGAUCUAGAUCGAUAUUUGUUUUUUGUUUGAAACGGCUGAUGGAGGAUCGGAGGUGCUGGAGGAUCCGGCUGAUGGAAGAGGAUCGCUGGACUCUAGAUACCAGAUGUUAUGGGCGAGGUGCCAGAUGUUAUGGUGAUGGAUAUUUGGGAUAGAUAACUAGGCCUUAUGCUUUGCCAAGAGCUUGAGAGAUUGAGGGGGUAUUUUGGGAUAACUGGGCCUUAUGCUUUGCCAAGAGCUUGAGGGAGACUAGAAUUGUUUCUUCAUAAUUCAUUGCUUGGUUAUAUCAAUAGAGUCUACAAAUAUUUAUGUCCCUUCUACUUCACCUCUUUUGCUAAAUAACCUAUCUGGGACUAAUAUAAAUUGCAAGUACAAAGAUAAAUAAACUUAUAAAGAUAACUGAGCCGAACUUUCAGCCCAUCGGCCCUGGCAGCCUGUUGGCUGCCAAUGACAGAAGGAGGGUUUGCCAGAGGCUGCUGCUUGGGUCACUCAGCCGAGGUGCUUUGAGUCAGCAGGGUGAGAAGAAAAGCAUAGAGUAGAUUGCAUCUCCAUACAUGCACUUUCAAAAUAGAAAAGCCAUGGGACACUGUAGCGUUUCUUGUUGCAGACCGAAAUGGGAAAAUAGUGAGAAUGCUAACAGAAGUUAGCAAAGUUCUAAAAGCUUAGCCUUUUGUUCAUUUGGUGCUAUUAAACUGUACCAUACUCUCACGGUGCUAGCUUUUCUAAAACCAAAUCUUUGGGUGCUACAAAACCAAUUUUGCCUAAUGUUAUAUUCUGAUUGCUGGUAGAAUAAUGUAGUAGCAAGUCAAACAUAUGUGACUUGAUUCUGAACUAACAUGAUAUGCAUUUCGUCCUUCUAAUUCACUGACUUCAAAUGUCACAUUCAAUCUUUGGAAUUUCAAAAUGCCCAAAACCCUUCGGGACUCUGUUCAGUACUCCCAGUACCAAUUCCUGUGGCAUCAAAACACCCAGAUUUUGAUAAAACCCAAUUCUAGUUUCAAAACUCAAGGCCCAAUUCUAGGUAUUCAAAAUCGUAAUAGGGUGCUAGGUUGGAAUGCUAGGACAUGGUGAUUUCUCUGUGAUCAUGUGCUGCAUCUAGGGCCUGCUCAGAUUGAUGCCUGGCAGGCAUUUGCCUGGCCAGGCAACAAAUCGUGGCCCCAGGUGUCCAAAAAAUUGGAUGCUUGGGAGGUCUGCCUGGCCCAGGCACCCUUUUCAAGCCACCAUCCAAACAGGCCCCUGUUAUUGAUCCGUGCAUGUAUUAGGAUGAUGGAGCAAUUGAAGUUUUCCAGGAACUGUGUCAAUGUUCUAUAUGACAUUAUUAGUUCAUUUUUUUCCUUCAGUGCUUGUUUGGAUAUACCCAUUUUUUGUGUAUUGGAAUAGAUUGGGAGGGAUUGAGGGGGGCAAAUUAGUUCCCUCUCCAUUCCACAUGUAUUAGGAGGGGGUCUGUAUGAAUAAUCCCUUAAAAAGAAAUCAGAUUCUAGGAGGUCUUGCACUCUUGCAUGUUGCUUAUUCUUUACGUUACACUUUUAAUGGCAAUUGUGCUGACACAUAAUCUCUGUUGGUAGCGG